rnacentral:piRNA from 1 species
UGCUCUAGGUGUUUAUGACGUUUAC